GGGAGUGAGAAAAGAGAAGGAUUGAAGUUCAAAUCUUAAAUGGCACAGACAAGGGGUUUACAGGGAGGAAGGUCAGAAGAGAUAUAAAUGAAGAGUCAGAUUAGUAUUCAGGAAAGUACGUGGAACUGAAGUUGGGAGAUCUGUUCUUCCAGUCUCACUUUCUCCAUUCAUGGUUUGUGCACCUUCCCUGCUAUACAGACUGGACUUGAACACUAAGUCUUCAAUAGCUGAGAUUCUCCAUCUUAAUCUACUUGGAGGCAAGAGCAGAUUGGUUGUUUCAUUAUGGAUGGAGGGGAUGAUGGUAACCUUAUUAUCAAAAAGAGGUUUGUGUCUGAGGCAGAACUAGAUGAACGGCGCAAAAGGAGGCAAGAAGAAUGGGAGAAAGUUCGAAAACCUGAAGAUCCAGAAGGUAUACUGUGACAGUCAGUAUAAUGGUCUUUAAUCCACACAGCAACCCUGCAGAAAUGUCCAGAGGAGGUUUAUGACCCUCGAUCUCUAUAUGAAAGGCUACAGGAACAGAAGGACAGGAAGCAGCAGGAGUACGAGGAACAGUUCAAAUUCAAAAACAUGGUAAGAGGCUUAGAUGAAGAUGAGACCAACUUCCUUGAUGAGGUUUCUCGACAGCAGGAACUAAUAGAAAAGCAACGAAGAGAAGA
rnacentral:lncRNA from 1 species